GGAGGAGGAGGAGGAGGAAGAGGAGGAGGAGAGGAAGAGGACACUUUAAUGUAUGUAAACUAAAAGUAAAUUUAUAGGAAUCAUUUAUUAUUUGCAGUGCAUGCUCUUUAUUCUUGAGUCAAAGAGACAUAGCUUAAGCAAAGGUUUGAUCAGUGAUGUCACACAAUGGCAAUUGUGACUGCAAGUUCGUGCCCCUUUAUCCCUUAUCACCCUUCCAACCACAUCGCUGUGAUUGAGUACAGACUGCGUCCUUUGUUUGUUUUCAUCCUCCCCCUUUGAUUACUCUCUCUUUCCUGAGCUGUAUUCUCCUUCCCUGUAAAUAAAGUAUGACCUGUAUAACACAAAAGGAAAUGGGAGCAUAAAAAUUUGCAUACUGUAAUUAAACUGCUGUAUCAUGAGCUUUCUUUCUUUGGUUAUGUUGGAAUGAAAACAAAGGUAUACCUCUGAAUCAGAGUUUGGAGUGUUAUCCCUGGAAACUGGAAUGAAUAAAAUAGGCCAGGAAGCCUUGUGUGCCUUACAACCUUAAUGCAGCCAUGUGCUGUACUGUUUAUGGGUAAAGCACCUGGCACCACAGUCCUUCCUGGACUGGCCUUUAUCUCAGGUAAGUGGGGCCUUUCCGGUUGAAUCUCUUCCAGACAGGUGUGCAGGCAAAGAUGAUAGCCUGGCCCAUGGCUGAAUGGUUGCUUCUCAUCCAUGGAAUUCAUUUUCAUAUUUGAAAUGCUGCAUAAUGUGGUGAAUAAAGCACUAAACUGGAAAUCCAGGAUAUACAGUUUGUGAGGACUUGCCGACUGCACUUACAUGAUCAUCUUAACAGCUUAAUGCUUGAAUUAAUUCAAUCAGUAUAAUGGUUGGUAAUUUGUAAUAAAAAUUCUGACAACUUAUACACGGCUUAAAUUUAUCAAGUGCUUUUAUGCAGUUUAACUCUUUUAAUCUUCAGGUUCAGAUGGGGAAAAAAAAACCUGACUGAGUGAGGUUUGGUGCCCUGUUUCUUAUAGAACAAUUACCUCAUCUUUCCCUCCAUAUUCAUCCUGUGAAGACACUGUACCCUGGUACCAUGUUGAAGAGAACUCCAAAACGAUAGAGUUUAUCACCUCAGAGUCCUGCCUGGAACAACAAUCACUGAUUAACUUUGAGUUCUGUUACAGACCCUGUGUAGUGAGCACUAGGAAAUGUCUAAGAAAUGAAUAAAUGAAUGCAUGCAAGCUCGGAGGUCUUGACAAUAACCUACUUCGAGUUUGAAAAUGCAGCACCGGAAUGUUUGCAUUUGACUUACCAGAAGCUUCUCCUUCACCUCUUGGCUGUGAACCUCCAUAGCACCCUCCCACAGUAUGUCAAAGGUGUUGUUGGAUCAGCAGUCCCCCUAUUCUGGAACAUUUUCUCUUUCUACUUCAUUUGUGUUGCUUGUGUUGAAGGUACCCCGAUCUUACAGAGCUAUUUCUCUGACUUUAGAUGAUGGGCACCCAACAUAAGGUGAGCCAAUUUCUAAACCUGAGACCAGAAUGCGUGUGAGUCAGUUUUUCUCCAGGCAUGGGAAGACAAGUUUUCUGCUACAUGGAGUAAGCCAGACCAUAGAGUAUGAUGUAGAGACCGAAGAACCAAGGAAAGAUAGAGAUGGAGUAGGUAUCCUGGCACCAUUUCUAAACCCCUUGUUCCAAUUUUUUAAAAGCCAACAGAGCUCUGCAUAUUUCCUGUUGGGUGAUUCAGCUGUCAAGUGCCCCAAGAUGCUUUCACUAAGUUCUUUAUUCAUUGGCAUUAUGGUCUUAACAAUACCACUGGCUUUUGUCAAUUUGAUGUAGAUUUCUGUCAGUGGGGAAAAAUAAGUCCAAAAUCACACAAUCCAAAUGUACCAGAGAAGCAUGUGGCUGGGUAGACAGUGAUUUGUGGUUAUGACUAAGUCUCUAUUCUAGACACCAUCAUUUCCUCAACUCUGGCACGAAAGAGGCCUAGAAUAUUUGCUUGGGAAUGCAAAUAUUCUUUAAACCGAGAGACAGGUCAUGGUUGUACCAGAAAAGGCAGAGGGAGGCUUUUUACUUUUCAUGUAUAAACUAGAAUAGGUAGUAAAAAUCAUUUUACUGAAUGAACUCUGGCUUUUUUCCUUCAUUUUUCCAAUUCCAUAAAAUCUACAUAGUUCUAAGUUUUGUUGUGAAGAUUAAAUAAUACAAUGAAUGUGAAAUACGUAGCAUAAUUCUUGACAUGGAGUAAUAAAUAUAGCUCUUCUAAUUAUUCCUUUUCUUGUAAAAAUCAUGCCACAGUCUUCUAAUUUUUAAAUUAUUUCUUGUUUCAAAAGUGAAUGUCUUAGAUAAAGCAGAGAUUUACUGUGCCCCCAUCACUCUUGUUAUUUAGGGUUCCAUUAUCAUUUGCUGAAUCACUAAAUCUCCAGUGAUUUGCAUGCUUGGUUUGGUUAAUAAAUAGUAAAAAUAAUACCACAAAAAAUAAAGAUGGUUUUAUUUUUAAAGCAGCCUAGAAAAUAGCUGGUCAACAGCUCAAAAUGGGACUAGAUGAUAGACAUUUCUGUAGAUAAAGCAUCUACCACCACUGACCAUUACUAACUCAACAAAAAUGUUUGUCCCGCUUUGCCAGACAGAUAAUUAAACAGCUUGUCCUGUCAGGACCUGAUGCUGGGAUGUCAGAGAAAAUUGAGUUUCUGAAUUUUGCCAUAUUUUGUAGUGGCCAGAAUCUCACUAUGAGAGACAGCAGGUUUGAAUUGCAGAAUUUGACUUCUCUCUUGGAUGUAUUUUACUGGAGAAGUUGAAAUUCUUCCUCUGAGGCUUAGGACAGCCUCUGUAGCCUAAGCCGCUCAGUCUGAGGUUGCUUCAGGGAUGGAAAAGUGAUCUUAAUUAUAGAUAAUCACAGAGCUCUGCCUGUGCUCUGGCACCCAAAAAGGCCAUAGAUGAAAAGUGGGGUGACAGGGGUAAUUCUUUUCCUUUCUCCAUUGUCCACCGGGUCCCUACAUAUGAAAAAUUGGUUCAGAGAAUAGUAUUCAGAAUCAAGAUGGAGAACCACAAAGGAAGUUAAAUGUAAGCUGGACGCCGGUUUUCAACGGGCAGAGAUGGGGCUCCCUGGGCCACAUGACCUCGGGAAAUGGGGAUAAUCAAAAUCGCCUGUGAAGUUUUUGUCAGAUUAUCAAAACCCCUUUAUAAGAGACUAUCAGAAUGAAUUUGGAUCAGAAAAGCUCUGAGACUAUUCUGUUUGCAAUUUUAAUAUACCAUUGUCACUACUACUCCAGAAAAAUAACAGUUUUCUCCAGACCAUUUUCUCACUGAAAACUUCCUCUACUAUGCUGGCCAAGAAUUCAAUUCCACCGUUGCUACAUCACACAGAAGAGAAGACUAGGUGGUAGUGCCGCUGGCCCUGCAGUUUAGUCCUUCCGAUCUCUUGAUCAUCUCUCUUUGUAAUAUUGUCUUAUUAUGCCUGAGUCCAGAACCCUUCAACACACCUCCGCAAAAUCUCCCUGUGCCCCAAAGUAGACCAUGUGCUUCCCUUGCAAUCUAGUUCCAUGUAGUAAUGGAGCUACAAGACAGCUUUGAGCUCACUCCAUUUGUUCAACUCCAGCUGCUUCAUAGACUAUGAAUUCAAGAGUCAAAGGAGGAAAAGUGAGGUCCUCAAGAUGAACAAGUGAAAGAGGAAAAUUUAGCAUUUAAUAUGUCAUAAUUCACUGUUUUGCAUUUGUAAGAUCGAGUUCUUUACUACUGGCAUAUAUCUUCUUUGUGAAGUGAUCAAUAGGAAAAUCACAUACCACUCUCUUAUUAUGCUGAUCUCUCCGCACUGUGUUAUUAUCCCCACAUCAUGCACGUCCAGGGUAAACAAAGAAAGACAACUCCUUUCAAGGAUCCAACGUGUAAGUGCAGAAGAAUAAGUAAACACACUAUGGCAAAGCUACUCAAGAAUUCAUUCAGCUACCAUAAUGGUGUAUAUGCAGAAUUUACAAAAAAAAUAAAAAUUAAAAAAAAAACAGCAAAAAGUAGCCGCAACAAAACCAAUAUUGAUAGGUUGAACAUUGUGGACUUUUGCCCCCAGUAUUCAUUCUCUUCUAAUAACAGAAUUUCUGUUUUCCUCCUGGGCAUUCAUGUCUCCUUCAUUUUCAAUCAUGUAGUCUGAGCGCAGUGUGGGUGAAAACUGUGACACAGACUGGUGUAUUAGCUUUCUUGCUGCAGCUGUGGCAAAUUAACACAAAUUUAGUGAUUUACAGUUCUGGAGGUCAGAAGUACAAAGCGGUUUUCAUGAGACUAAAAUCGAAACAU